rnacentral:rRNA from 1 species
GAAACAAAAACGACUCUCGGCAACGGAUAUCUCGGCUCUCGCAUCGAUGAAGAACGUAGCGAACUGCGAUACUUGGUGUGAAUUGCAGAAUCCCGUGAACCAUCGAGUCUUUGAACGCAAGUUGCGCCCGAAGCCAUUCGGCCGAGGGCACGUCUGCCUGGGCGUCACGCAUCGCG